rnacentral:rRNA from 1 species
AGGGGACGACGUCUGGUCAGCAUGGCCCUUACGGCCUGGGCGACACACGUGCUACAAUGCCCACUACAAAGCGAUGCCACCCGGCAAUGGGAGCUAAUCGCAAAAAGGUGGCCCAGUUCGGAUUGGGUCUGCAACCCGACCCCAUGAAGCCGGGAUCGCUAGUAAUCGCGGAUCAGCCAUGCCGCGGUGAAUACGUUCCCGGGCCUU